GAGUUUGAUCAUGGCUCAGGAUGAACGCUAGCGGCAGGCUUAAUACAUGCAAGUCGUGGGGCAGCAUGAGUGUAGCAAUACAUUUGAUGGCGACCGGCAAACGGGUGCGGAACACGUACACAACCUUCCUUUAAGCGGGGAAUAGCCCGGGGAAACCCGGAUUAAUACCCCAUAGUAUGGUGAAGAGGCAUCUCGUUUAUUAUUAAAGAUUUAUCACUUAAAGAUGGGUGUGCGGCUGAUUAGGUAGUUGGCGGGGUAACGGCCCACCAAGCCUACGAUCAGUAACUGGUAUGAGAGCACGACCAGUCACACGGGCACUGAGACACGGGCCCGAUCCUACGGGAGGCAGGCAGUAAGGAAUAUUGGGUCAAUGGACGAAAGUCUGAACCAGCCAUGCCGCGUGGAGGAUGAAGGUCCUCUGGAUUGUAAACUUCUUUAUAUGGGACGAAAAAGGCCUUUCCAGGUCGUCUGACGGUACCAUAUGAAUAAGCACCGGCUAACUCCGUGCCAGCCGCCGCCGU
rnacentral:rRNA from 1 species